UUAAUUCUUAAUUUCAAAUUACUUUUCCCAAAUCUGCUCUUUAGUCUUAUGUUUUUUUUUUCACAAUCGAACUUUUAUUCAAACCUUCAAAUGAAGGAUGAGAAACGUACGUAUGAUACAAAGCUCGAGGACACAUGUAAGUCCCUGGAUAUUUAGCCGGCGGAAACGAGAAUUCCCCGGAGCUAAAACACAAACCAAAAGUACAAUAACAUAAGUCAAUUACACACACAAAACCACAAUUAAACAAACGAAAUCUAAUAAUUAACCCCUAGAUAAUUCCUUUGAGAAGCAUCUGAAAACACAAUUACUUCUUUUCCGAAAACUGAAUUUUGUUGUUGAUGAUGGAAAUCGCCAUAACCAUCGGAAAACUCUGAACUACUCUUCCUCUCUUGUUAUUAAAUCGACUUAAGAAAAUAAAACAUCCACUUGCAAACCCAAUUUGAUGAGGCUUCGAUGAUGAAGCUUUGGAACCAUCAAAAACAUGUUGACUGAUAAGCAGAAGUAGACCUUUCAGAUCUUGACCCAAAUCUGAUUGUGAAUUCUUGUUGGAGGAAGCUGAAGGAGCCGCCUAACUGAAACAUCACCCAUCUCAGAGAUGAGAGAUUGGGAUCAAUCGGUUGAAGGCCUUGGGAAGAGAAGCUCAAUCUGAAGGAUUUGAAGACGCAUGAAAGCUAGGGAUCAAAAUUGAUUUCAAGAGUAUGUGGCUUGGACACAUCAUUGACCACCCCAACAUAAACUUUAUUCGGUCAUGAACAACCCAGAGCAAAGCGGCAAGAAUCGCUGACGGCCACGCCGAUCAUCGAGACUAUGGAAGUCAAAUCGAUAUCGGAUACAAGCCAACCAAAUACCAUAAAGGAUUUGGUGAGUGUUGGAAGAACGCCCACUAAACGGGAAUUGAUAACCGGAAAAUAUCCGGACGGUAACAAGUUAGUCGGCCUCUCUCUCAAAAAUUACUGAGAGCUUUUUUCUCUUUAGUCUUAUGUCACCAAGGGUAAAUCCACAACUACUAAAUUCCACAUGAAAUAUUAAUUUUUCUGAGACAAUGAUGUUUAUCUGUCAUUACGUAUUAACAAGCAAUCGGAUCUUUCCUUGUGACAAAAUAUAUCACUUAUGGUGACUGUUACCUAUAAAUCAUCAUGUAUUUUUGAUUAAUGGCGGAUUACAUAAUCAGCGUGCUACGACUUCAAGUACCAAUCUAAGCCAAGUAACAUACACCACCCAUUGGCACAAAUUAAAGAACACCACCACCAUUACACAUCCACUGACCACUAUAUAUAAUUUUUUUAGUUUCAGGAACUAGGAAGAGUCUCUUAACCAGAGAUCAAAGAUUCUCAGAUAAUCAACAAAUCUCAAUUUAACAAUAAUCAAGUUACCAAAAUAUAGUCAACCUAUGACAAUAAACAGUAACACAAGAUUAAGCUUUUAGAGUAAACAAAACUAAGAUUACAAACAUAUAAAAUCCGAGUCGAUGAGCUUUCAGUGACGUUCUACAAACUCUACAAAGCUCAAUUACAUUUCAACAAACAAAAUGUCUAAUACUUCUUCUACUUCCACACUAAUUUCUCUCUCUCUCUCUCGUUCAUCAGGUCUCAACAUUAGCUCUGUUUCCGG
rnacentral:lncRNA from 1 species